rnacentral:rRNA from 1 species
UACGGAGGGUGCGAGCGUUGUCCGGAAUCACUGGGCGUAAAGGGCGCGUAGGCGGCGCGGGCAGUCAACGGUGAAACGCUUGGGGCUCAACCCCGAGUCGGCCGUCGAUACUCCCGGGCUGGAGCACUGUAGAGGCAGGUGGAAUUCCGGGUGUAGCGGUGGAAUGCGUAGAGAUCCGGAAGAACACCGGUGGCGAAGGCGGCCUGCUGGGCAGUAGCUGACGCUGAGGCGCGACAGCGUGGGGAGCAAACAGG